rnacentral:rRNA from 1 species
AGUGAACGCUGGCGGUAGGCCUAACACAUGCAAGUCGAACGGCAGCACAGUAAGAGCUUGCUCUUACGGGUGGCGAGUGGCGGACGGGUGAGGAAUACAUCGGAAUCUACUUUUUCGUGGGGGAUAACGUAGGGAAACUUACGCUAAUACCGCAUACGACCUACGGGUGAAAGCAGGGGAUCUUCGGACCUUGCGCGAUUGAAUGAGCCGAUGUCGGAUUAGCUAGUUGGCGGGGUAAAGGCCCACCAAGGCGACGAUCCGUAGCUGGUCUGAGAGGAUGAUCAGCCACACUGGAACUGAGACACGGUCCAGACUCCUACGGGAGGAAGCAGUGGGGAAUAUUGGACGAUGGGCGCAAGCCUGAUCCAGCCAUACCGCGUGAGUGAAGAAGGCCUUCUGGUUGUAAAGCCCUUUUGUUGGUAAAGAAAAGCAGCAGGUUAAUACCCCGCUGUUCUGACGGUACCCAAAGAAUAAGCACCGGCUAACUUCGUG